AGCAGCCGCGGUAAUUCCAGCUCCAAUAGCGUAUAUUAAAGUUGUUGCAGUUAAAAAGCUCGUAGUUGAAUUUCGGGAUCAGUACGCUGGUCGUGCCUUUGGUAUGUACUGGUGUCACUGAUUCCUCCCUUCUGAAGAACCGUUAUGCCAUUUAUUUGGUGUGGCGGGGAAUCAGGACUGUUACUUUGAAAAAAUUAGAGUGUUUAAAGCAGGCUCGCGCUUGAAUACAUUAGCAUGGAAUAAUGAAAUAGGACGUUUGAUCUUAUUUUGUUGGUUUCUAGGAUCGACGUAAUGAUUAAUAGGGAUAGUUGGGGGCAUUAGUAUUCAAUUGUCAGAGGUGAAAUUCUUGGAUUUAUUGAAGACUAACUACUGCGAAAGCAUUUGCCAAGGAUGUUUUCAUUAAUCAAGAACGAAAGUUAGGGGAUCGAAGACGAUCAGAUACCGUCGUAG
rnacentral:rRNA from 2 species